AGCAGCCGCGGUAAUUCCAGCUCCAAUAGCGUAUAUUAAAGUUGUUGCAGUUAAAAAGCUCGUAGUUGAACUUCGGGGUUCACCCAUUGGUCAGGCUUAAUUGUCUGUACUGGUGAGAUGAGUCUCUACCUUCUGAGGAACUUUCAUGCCAUUUAUUUGGUGUGGUUGGAAAUCAGGACUGUUACUUUGAAAAAUUAGAGUGUUUAAAGCAGGCUAACGUCUGAAUACAUUAGCAUGGAAUAAUGAAAUAGGACGGAUUGAUUCUAUUUCGUUGGUUUCUAGGGUCACCGUAAUGAUUAAUAGGGAUAGUUGGGGGCAUUAGUAUUCAAUUGUCAGAGGUGAAAUUCUUGGAUUUAUUGAAGACUAACUACUGCGAAAGCAAUUUGCCAAGGAUGUUUUCAUUAAUCAAGAACGAAAGUUAGGGGAUCGAAGACGAUCAGAUACCGUCGUAGUCUUAACCAUAAACUAUAGCCGACU
rnacentral:rRNA from 1 species